rnacentral:rRNA from 1 species
AGAACGAACGCUGGCGGCGUGGAUAAGACAUGCAAGUCGAACGGGAUAGAUUGGUAGUAAUAUUAGUCUAUUCAGUGGCGAACGGGUGCGUAACACGUGGAUAACAUUCCGGGAAGUGAGGGAUAGCCCAGGGAAACUUGGAUUAAUACUUCAUGUGGUCGAGAGACUAAAGCCGCAAGGCGCUUCCUGAUUGGUCCGCGGCCUAUCAGCUAGUUGGCGGGGUAACGGCCCACCAAGGCGACGACGGGUAGCUGGUCUUAGAGGACGACCAGCCACACUGGAACUGAGACACGGUCCAGACACCUACGGGUGGCAGCAGUCGAGAAUCUUUCACAAUGGGGGCAACCCUGAUGGAGCGACGCCGCGUGGAGGAUAAGGUCUUCGGAUUGUAAACUCCUGUCAUGCGAGAACAAAGCCCUAUGGGUGUGAUAGUAUCGCAAGAGGAAGAGACGGCUAACUCUGUGCCAGCAGCCGC